UCGAAAAUCGAGCUGAAAAAAUUAGUUAAAAUCGAUCGCUAUUUGGUGUUAUACGCAGGUAGUCUGUCUUUCCUAAAAUUGUCUGCAAUUUCCAUCAUGGUAUGGGACAUUCGAGCCAAAUUCAGAAUAAGUUUAUCAGUAGGUAAGAUGUAGAAAAUUUUGCGGUUGUUCGAGGUUGAAAUCGUGGUUAACCAUUAAAAAUCGCCUCGAUUUGCUUCUGGUGCAGUAUGAUUAGGUAUUGCAGUUCUAUGAACGCUCCUCUUUUAUGGAGAUAGAUUUUUGGGCCAUGUGAAGUAGGUUCUGAAGCUGAUCAGGGUUUGCUUUUACAUUUUCAUUGACAAGUUCUGUGCUGUUUUAAUAGUUUAUCUUUGGGUAGUCCGGUGUUUUUUUUUCAAAAAACAGAAAUAAAAGAUAAAUGUUUGCAUUUGUGUUACUCCUUUUUUUUUCAAUAGUUUCAUUUUUCUUUGAAUGGCUUCUUUCACAAAAUUGCAGCCAUUGCUAUUGCAGUGCAAUAAUCAGCUAGUUGAACUGAAAAAUUAUAUGAAGAUUACAAUUUAUAAUUAAUCAAUACAACUAAAAAUUGAUCAUAGAUGUGAUUGUAUUAUAGAUUAUUCGGAUGCAAAUGCAAAUAUUUCAGGUUGUUUUUCCAAAAAAAUAAGAAGUUUGCAAAUACUAGAUCAGCUUAUUCUUGAUGUUUGGGUUAUAUGAAACAAUAACUAGACAUGGUCGAGGUCAAGGUUGCAAAUAUUGCCAGAACAGGACGGUAUGAAUGGUACCAUACCAUUUUUGUAGGCUAUUAGCAUCGGUAAACAGUGUAUCGGUGCAGAUGCAGUCCUGUGUCAUGUGUUGUAUCUGGUACCUACCUUCUAGCAAAAACAAAAAACAAAAAGGUACGAGUCUUAUACCAGUAUGUGGAGCCUUGGUUGAGUAUUCACAAGAUAAUGUGAAAUGUUAAUGCUUGACCGUCAUUUGGCAUACAUAUGUACAGUGCCUUCACAAACUGAUUGCUUCUGGGGUUUUAAAUGCUGGUAUAAUAAUGCUAUGAUAGUAGGAUUUUGGUAUUUAAUGAAAUUUAAGUUUUUGCAUCCAUGAGAUCAGGAUGCAUAGUUUGACUUGUGGCUCCCAGGAACUGGGGCAAAACCUGGAUCUUGCGAAAGAAGAAUGAGCUCAGGUUUACUUAUUGAUUGGUUCUUACUCUGACAAAAGGACUAGGUUUUCAAAGUAUUGGUAAAUGCUCAGUUGUCCAACCACUAUUAUGAGUAUGUAAGGUGUGAAUUGUUGUCAUUAAGCAAAAAAGAAAACUUUCUGGUUUGGGAUUGAUAUGAAAGGCCAUAUUGAUCAUGUCUUUAAUUGCUUGAAUUAUUGAAUAUAACUUUAGUCUCCCUGAAUAGGUUUUGGGUUUGGGAGGUGGGGGUUUGAAGUAUGAAUAUUCUACUUGAUUUUACGUAACUCAUGGAAACCAUUGAUUUUACUGAUGUUCCUAAUCUCUUAUCUUGAUCUCUUUAUUUCCUAUGUGGGAAGAUAAUGAAGGGAAUGAUGUGUUUGAAUUGUUAAACGUUACCGUUGGUGUUUUUAAGUUCAAUAAGCAAGAAAAUAUAUCUUAAAUUAUAUAAACAUACGGAGAUUUCUGUUAUCAUAUGAACUGGGCUUGCUCUAGUGGUCCUAUCCUCUGUCUAGCAAUCAGAGGUUCUGGAUUCAAAUCUUAGAUGCUGCAUUCCCAAGCACUGGGACCUAGUAAUUGUAGUUCAGAUGGGUAUCUGUCCCUCUCUCUCAAAAAAAAAAUUGUCCUUGGACAUUUAUGACCGUUAGACUUCUUGCAAUCUAUAUUGGCCAUUAGAUUAAGAAAGGAGGUCUCUCCUAAUAUAUUUUUUUCUUAAUCUCAGAUUCUUUCUGGUCUCCAAAUACACUUUUCAAAAUCUUUUGAAAGAAACUUCAUAAAAAUUAAAAGGCAUCUCCUGUUCCCUUCUGCUUUGAUUUUAUGCAAACCAGUGAUCUAAGUUAAUGCUUUACUCUGUGCCUUUGAUGAAGUAAGAAAAAAAAUCAAUUUUAUAACUUUUACUAUUUAUUCACUUAGUUAUAAUUGAGAAUGAAAUAUUUUCCUCUGCAACAUGCAUUAUGUAUAUACCUAUAUAUAGCUUUCAUAUUGCUGUUUUUCUGCAAUUGUCCCUUUUUGUUAUAUUGGCUUCUAUCACAAAAUUGCAGCUAGUGUUGUUGCAGUGCAAUAAUCCUCUUCUUUUUUUUUUAAGCAAUGCAAUAAUCAGUUAGUAACAAUUAUUUGGCAGUGAGUGAAAAGGUCCAAAACCAUCACCACUCUUGGCAUCUUUCAAAACUCAUGGGAUGUUUUCUUUUUUUAUUAUAAAGAAGCAGAGGAUCAGGCUCUAUCCAAGGAUUAUAUAUCUAAAAACUCUUAUUCAUGGACAGCCGUGGUACAGGCCUCAAGAGAUCUCCCCUUCUUCCUCCCAUAUAUUACCAUUGGUAGAAAGGACCAUUCUCUUUCUGAGUCGCUCUGUUUUGAGAAGUAACUCCUUGGUAGAGCAAUGGUUUCAUCCAAGCUCUUGCUUAUACAGAGCUUGAUCUCUUGUAACCUUGAGUUUUAUAAAGGGAGCUCUCCCUUAAUCUUGUUGGAUCUUAGAGAGCUGAAUUCAGGUAUUACCAAUUGAUGAGCAUUUUGAACCUUGGUUUGAACCAUGGACCUACAUUGAGUCCAAUACUUGGAGUUAGUAAAUUUAAAUUUACUCCACCAACUGGGGGCUAUUAUGCCUAAAUUGGUUGAGGCUAGGCCUCAAACUUAGGCCAACUCUUAGGAUACAGUUUGAUAUUAACUCUAGUUUUUGGGAAACACAAAGUUUUCAAAUCAAGAUGCUAGCAAACUGCAAGCUGUGAUUAUUCAUUAAAUGACCAUUUGGUAAUUGCUCUAACAAAAUCCUAGGUCUCCACUCGCCAUUGGAUAGGGAUUGCAAUAUAUUGGAAACAAUCUUGUCAGCAACCCAUGCACAAUGUUGGCAAUUUUAAGAUUAUAUGAUUUAGAAUGCACAAUGGCUAUCUCCAUAGUUUUUUUUUUCCGGUUUAGGCUAACUUUUAGCUGGAGCAUGACUCAUGUCUAAGUUCAUUGGUUGCUAAUUGUACUUGGAGUAUUCCAACAUUCAUAAGCCAAAUAAGGCGGCUUAUGAAAUCUCGCAUUCUCUUCCCGCACCUUGCCUGUUCUAGCAUCUGGCAAACCAGACUUGGCUGGGAUUCCUUCAGAAAGGGGAGCUUUUCCUUGAUCUUGGUUUGGUCAUCUAACUUUCAAGCCUGUUGGGAACUGGUUUCUCCUUUCUCAUCGCACCUUUGGCGGGAGGAGUUAGAAAGGUGAAAAGAGAACAAGACAAGACCUGCGUAUAUCGCUCCUGUCUAAGCGAGCGAUACUUUAUCCAUUGGACUUUCCAUUCAAGCUCGACUUGUAGCGAGACUCGUUCUUUUUCUCAUGAAAAAUUGAUUAUCCAUUUUUUUGGCAAUAAAAUAACCACUCGUUACUAGUAAUCCAUGUCGCUCUCACUAUAUUAUAUAUUCAUGUGGAUAUUCAGUAUAUCGUCGUGUUCUGUUACAACACAACGAAUAGAAUGUUCUUAUAAAACUAGUAAGAAUAUGUAUGCCAUACACCUUGCUGGGAUUGUAGUUCAAUCGGUCAGAGCACCGCCCUGUCAAGGCGGAAGCUGUGGGUUCGAGCCCCGCGUCCCGAACUAGGAUCCAAUGAAUUGAUUAUAUUUAAAGCAUACUCGUAAGUAGAGUAAUGAUUCUGCUUUAUUAUGAUUCUUUGUGGGUGUUUGGAGAGAGAGAUAUGGUAGAAUUUCUAAAUUACAAAUGAAUGUUCAUCCUUCACUUUUCAACAACAACUUACAUUAGAUGAUUGUUCCGGGCUCAAGGCCAUUAGAUAUCGAUAUCUGCCAGUUGAUGUUUUUUAAGGACAAAUAGGCACUGGUGCAAGACCUGUUGAUGGAGAACUGAUGUUCUGGAUUGAGCAGGGCUUGGUUUUCCACCUUAUGAUAUUUCACUUGCAUCCUUUGUAUGGACGUCAUUUCUCCAGCUAUAUUGCUAUGCUAAAAUGGGGAGGGAAAGAAAUAAGAGACAUGAAAUUAGAAUUAUUUUAGUGUAAUGUGCAAUUUCUUGGAAUCCCCACUUUCAGAAUCUGUAUAGUGCCUGGAAAAAAAAUUCAGGUCCCUAAUUAGUUUUAAUUCUUUCCAUUUCUAUGAAAGUUAAUGGAUAAACAAGAAAUAUUGGCAUCCUGAGUUGUGCAGGAGCAUGAACCAGAAAUUCGUGAACAGGAUUGCAGAAAUGAUAGUCAACCAUUCCUUGUGCAGGACAUAAUUAGCUGAGGUUGCUAGAUAUUAUAAGCUUUUGGUUAAUUUUGGAAAAGCGAUAUCUGGUCAAAAUAUAAAUAAAGAAUUUAUUUUUCAUUUCGAACUGGUUGCUGGGCCCAGGAUUUUGCAAAGAUGCGAUCAAAAAAGGGACGACGAAGUGAUACAAAAAGAACUCUGUUCUUUGUUACUCCUAUCUAUAAGAGGAGAGCAUAUGAAAAAUGUAACUGAUUCUUUCCUUUCCUUGGGUCACUGGCCAUCCGCCGGGAGUUUCGGGUUUAAUACCAAUAUUUUAGCAACAAAUCCAAUAUGUUUCUCUGAACUGUUGAGUAGCGGUUCCAUGAGUAAUUAUCAGGUAUCUCAAAUUCCAUAAUUUUUCUACUAUGCCAUGUUGAGCUUGAGCCAUGAAGUAUUGUCUAACUAGUAACUUUAGAAAAGGGCAACCAUAUAUCUAGUAUCUUGUAAGUGUAUCAAAUAUUGCACCUGUUAAUACAUGAGUUUACUGGCAAGCAUCUGUCUGCACAGUGCUUGCUGUUGCUUGCGCUAGACAAUGUUUUCCAAACUUUAGCAAACUAUGUAAUAUAAUUUAAAGUUUAGCAAGAAUCAUAUUUCAUAGGAAGUGCAAUUAAUAUUUCACAUAAAAUUGUCAAGAAACAAGCCCGUCUAGUCUGCAUCAGCAUUGGAAGUACCUUGUUAUCUGUAUAAACAUGCUGAAUGAUGAGCCAUCAGGGUGUUAAUGCUACAGAAAAUCAAUAAUUAAAUAUUUAAUUAAUUACAUAAUAAACCUAAGAAUCUGUGGGUACCUGUAAUCAAUCACCACUGUAAGUGUCUCUAUCUAAAUAUUGCUUGUUUUUGCUUAUAUUUGCUUAUAUUUGGUCUUCUGAUUGUGAUGCUUUAUGUGCGAUUUGACAAAAGUAUAUCUUGAUAUGAUGAUUUCUUUUUGGUUAUAACGAACUUAAAGUUAAGGAAUUCCUUUCUUUACUGUCUCUGUUAUAGAUGUACCCACUGCAUACUUUGUUUACUUUGUUGUUUCACAUGUGAACUUAGCAAUUUAUUCAAUUCAUGCUAAUAUUUGGCUGUCAUACUAUCUUCAGGAGCUGGAUGGAUGCUGUUGUUGCCUUAUCCUUCCAUCAGUUAAUUUGCAUUUAAUUAUAUCUCUAUUAUUUUCAUGAUAUAAUUUUAGUAGAAUAAUUAAGAGUUUAAGCAUGUUGCUUAGCAAUUUAAUGAUAAAGAUAUUAUGUCUUGCUGGCAUCUUUGCUUGCUUAGGCUUCAAUUCAUGAAUAGUAGAAUCAUAGCUUGAGAUUAUUGUAAUGAGUUUAAUUUAUCAAUCUCUUUAAUGUUUCAGGUAAUGUAGCUAUAAGCUUUAUUGUUUAAAUAGUUAUCCAAAUCAGUCCGAGCAUAUCAAAUCCCCUCACUGUCCAGUAUGACUAAUGAUGCAUUAUAUUUGUGCCCGCGCGCAUAUGUAUAUAUAUGCAUAUGUGUGUAUAUACAUACAUAAAUAAAUGCAUAUAUGCAUAAAUGUACACAUAUUUAUGUACAUACAUAAACAUAUUUCUGGAUGGUGGAUACUAUCAUCAAGGGCAAAACUUCUUUGCUACAUUGCUUAUGUGAUGUCAGUAUUUAACAGCAUUCAGUCAUUUAUAAUAUGGCCAAACUUCUGUUUCUUCUUGAAGUUUUCAUGUCCUUUAAUUAUUAAAUUCAUAAUACUUUCUUCAGGAUAAAAAUCCCUAUCUUCUGUUCUUGCAAGAAAAUUAUGAAUUGGAACUAGCAAUUUAUUACCUUGCUUUAUUAUUACCUAGAGUUGGCACAGUUGCCAAUAUGAAGCAAUAUUUUUCUCUUAACUUGAUUUCAUCAAAUUACCAUCUGUUGUCGUAAAUCUUAACUUGUCUUCUGUUAUUACUACCGAUUAACACUAAUCUUGUGUUGUAUUUGUAAGUAUAUAGGUUCAGGCACAUUCUGCUCAUGUAACAGGUAGGGAUUCUUUGUUUUUCGUCCUGUCAUGAGAACCAUUGGCACAAGUUACAAAUUGAGGCAGAAUUAGUUUAAGAUCAGAUUAUGCAAAACUGUGGAGCAGUGUGAAUGAUAGUUGAUAACUUGAUACUUCAUUGCUACAUCAGUGGUAAGAUAGCAUUGGACUGGAUACUGUGAAGGAUUCAGAGGUGUUUGUGUAUGCCCAAAUUUGGAUGAGAGACUCUGAAUGCUAUGUUGGAGAGGAUAUCUAUUUGCUUAUCAAGUUGGAGUUGGAGAGUUUAGCUGCAUCCAUGUAUGAGAAUACCCCUGAUUCAUUUAUGUGGUGAUUUUUAGUGUCCCAGAUCUUGAACUGUAGGUCCUGUGGCUCCUACAAGCCCUCCAAAUGCAGCCUUCUUCUGCCUCCUCUUGUCAACUGAAUCAUAAGCUUUAAAAUUUAUGUGCAUUCCACACGAAGAGGAUAUUGUAAAAUAAGGUAGCUGGGUACAUGUUUGAUUCAUAAAAUUAAUUUUUAUUUUUGAAAUAUAAUAGGUAUGAGUUUGUCAGCAUACUAAGACCAUAUAAACUUGCUUAGUCCAAUUGCAUGGAACAUUUUCUUGUCCGUAGACCCAUAUAUGACAGAUCUUGAUGUAGUCACUCUUUCAAUGAGGAUGCCAAGUUGGAUUUAGGUUCAGGGUCAACAUCAAGUUAACAAACUGUUGUAACAUAAGAUGCUUGAUCUAUGAAAUGUGUCUGAAGGGAAAAUCUGUGCUGCUAGUGGAUCUGGUUUCCCAUGAAAAGAAAUACAGCAAAAAAAAAAUUGAGCUCAACACAAUCAGGCUUGUGUUGACUUGCUAGUUAGGUUUACUCAUUCUAUUGAGACAGAUGUAUGAUUUGGUGCCUAAAGUCUGCUUAACAAUGCUUUAUUAGCCUCCUCUUGUAAGACAUCUUUCAAACAAAUUUAGAUAAGCAAAAGCUUCUUGAUGUCUUGAUUCUAAAUGGCUCUCACUCGCAAUGUCCAGGUUAGAGAACUCACCAUAUCCUUCCGAGAGUGCCAAUUGGAGUGAAUAGGUGCCAUAUAACUGAAAAUUUAAAGUUGGAAUUCUUAUCAAAAUCUCCUUUGCACGGCCAUCAUUAUUAUCACCUUGUCUGACCAGAUCAUCUUUCCUUUUAUUUCAUGAACCUCAGAUCAGUUGGAGCAAAAUAUGGUACUAGAAAUUUUCGAUCUAAAGGAUGAUAUCAGCUACUAAACUCCUUCACUUGAAAAGGCAUGAAUUACAAUCCUGAACUGAAGUCGAGUAGGCUGUGAUUUUAGGCAGACAUGCAUCUCAAACUGAAGAAUUGAACACAACUUCAUUAUUGUUGGAAAAAUGGCCUCCCAUCACAUAGGCAAAUACAGUCUUAUGUCACAUACUCAAAUUUGACUUUUUGUGUGCAAACCACAGAGUUCAGUGUAUCACCUUCACGUCUCAGUAGGGUAGUAACAGUGUUAGUUUUCUGAGCCAGUCAACCCUAUCAGUAACUAGGGUCAGUUAUUAGUGCUUUAUCAGUCAAAUUAGUGAUGGUUAUUUAAAGCCCCACCCACUCUAUCUUUUGUUUGGAGUAGUAGGAGGGUGUAUGCCCACACAAUGUUGGUUUCCUUGAGCCUAUAAUUGCCCAUUUAGUUUGGGUCAGGAGCAUGAACACUAUUUUCUGAUCCGCCAUGUUGGGUUUAUUUUUAAAUGUUGAAUGUUAUAUAAAAAGGAUACUGUAUCUCCAAAAACUCCGAUGCAGGUAUUAUAGAAUUGAUGGGUGUAUAAUCAGCCUUUACUGGCAACUGUCUUUGUCUACAUGAUGCUAGCUGCUGCUUGCGCUAGACUGUUCUUUCGGGAAGUUCCAUGAAGAAAGCUAUAUUAUUAAUGUUGAACUAUUACAUUUUUUAAUUCAAAUUGGUCUUGGGACAAGGAAGUUCAAAUCAAACUGUCAGGAAACAGGCCCUAUAAUCUAAAUUAGAAUCACAGAUUCCUUGAUAUCUUGUAUAACCAGGGCGGACAAUGUGCAACUGGAAUAUUAAUGAUAUUAAAAACAAAAUCUGGAUUUGUAAUUGAUUACAUAACAAAAAGUUUGAUGUGAUACCCAAGAAUCUGUGGGCACAUGUAUAAACCCUUCACUGGAAAAUGUUUUUGUCUAAAAGUUGCUUUCUGUUGCUUAUGCUGGCUUUUGAUGAUGUUAUUUUAUGCCUGAUUUUGUAAAAGUGAAGCUUGAUAACCUUCUCGUUCUUUUUGGUUUUAUUAAACGUAUUUUGAGGCUUUUCCUUUCUUUACCACUGUUUGCUAAAGAUAUGCAUAUUACUUGCUUUCUUUUCUUUGUUGUUAAGCAUGUUAGCACGGCAACUUAUGGUCAGCUCAUGCUACAGUAACUGAAAGUUCCUGCAAGCUUCAAUUAUUGGCUGGUAUAAAGUUUAUGGUGCAGGAUGGGAAUCACGGUCUCCUUAUCUUUCUGUCGGUUCCGGAUAUCAUUUGAAUCAGGUAGCUGGAGGCAUCCCCACAACCCAUAAGUGGGUUUUAAAGUAUAACCUUUCUGGUUUAAUUGCAUGGGGCAUUUAAUUGGCGGCUACGGAAAGGCAUACGUAGAAUUUACCAAGAAAAGGACAUGCAUGGAACAUAGACAAAGAUGUGACGCAUAUGGAGGUAGUCACUCUUCAAUUGGGUUGUCGGGUGGGUACUAGCUUCCUGGUUCAUCAUCAAGUUCCCAUUUUUGGAAUAAGAAAACAUGUGCUGAUAGUGUCUAAUUUCUUAUGAGAGGGGACACAGAAAAAAUCUUGAUGUUAAACUGAAAACUUGUAAUGGAUUUUUUGUUACAAUCUCUUACCUCUUACCUGGGGCCUGUCAUAAUAUUCUCCUUUGUCUUAACCAAGUUAUCCUUUCUCCUAUAUAUCUUUGUUCAUUUUUUCUUUUCAAGAACUUUAGAUGGGGUGAGAAAAAUUUGGUAAUUGAAUAUUUCGAUUCAAAGAAUGAUGUCAACCUACCUCUGCUGAACUUGUUCACUUGAAAUGUGUGGAGUGUGAUCCUGAACCCAGGCCAGGAGUGUGCAAGGCUUAGCCGUGACUCACAAGAUAAAGCCAUGAUAUAGCUCGGAAGAAUUAAGUGUUUGUUCCUCCCCCAACUUCUCUUUUUUUUUGAUUUUGUUGGUUUCGCUCAUGUUCAUUUGUGUAAAGUGCUGUUGUAUUGGGGAAAAAAAUAAAAGCCUUAGGUCACCCUCGUACAAUUAUGCAUGAGGUUCAUAUACUAGUCUACCCUCGUACAAUUAUGCAUGAGGUUCAAGGGGCAUUUAGCAAAUGAAGAGAGAGACCAAGUGAAAAAACUUAGCGAGUGGGGUCAUGCCUUCCAUUUCAUGAGGCAUGGCCAAAAGAGACGAGGUUGAGAAGAAACUGAUGGCAAGAGACGAAGUCCUUGCAAAUGUUAAAUGGAAGCUUCAGAAGGCACAGAAAAGAAUGAAAAGAUAUUACAAUCAGGAUCGAAGAGAUAUUGUUUUCGAACCAGGCUAGAAUG